rfam:Triticum aestivum genome assembly, contig: Triticum_aestivum_CS42_TGACv1_scaffold_641197_T_4BS-0.178267_1DL-0.133121
GUAGUACUCCCUCUGUUCGGAAUUACUCGUCCAAGAAAUGAACGUAUGUAGAUGUAUUUUAAUCGUAGAUACAUCCAUUUUUGUGACAAGUAAUUCCGAACAGAGGGAGUAAUUU